GACGAACGCUGGCGGCGUGCUUAACACAUGCAAGUCGAACGGAAAGGCCCUGCUUUUGUGGGGUGCUCGAGUGGCGAACGGGUGAGUAACACGUGAGUAACCUGCCCUUGACUUUGGGAUAACUUCAGGAAACUGGGGCUAAUACCGGAUAGGAGCUCCUGCUGCAUGGUGGGGGUUGGAAAGUUGCGGCGGUUGGGGAUGGACUCGCGGCUUAUCAGCUUGUUGGUGGGGUAGUGGCUUACCAAGGCUUUGACGGGUAGCCGGCCUGAGAGGGUGACCGGACACAUUGGGACUGAGAUACGACACAGACUACUCCGGGCGGCCGCCGUGGGGUCUGUUGCCCCGUGGGCGGAAGCAUGAUGCGGCAACGCCGCGUGCGGGAUGACGGCCUUCGGGUUGUAAACCGAUUUCGCCUGUGACGCGGCGUGCGUGACGGUCCUGGGUGACGAAGCCCCGGCUCCCUCCGUG
rnacentral:rRNA from 1 species